GCCGAGGUGGUGAAACUGGUAGACACGCUAGCUUGAGGGGUUAGUGGACGCUUUUGUCCGUGCAGGUUCAAGUCCUGUCCUCGGCACCA
rnacentral:tRNA from 1 species